AAAUAGAUACCCAGGUAGUCCACGCCGUAAACGAUGAGUGCUAAGUGUUAGAGGGUUUCCGCCCUUUAGUGCUGCAGCUAACGCAUUAAGCACUCCGCCUGGGGAGUACGACCGCAAGGCUGAAACUCAAAGGAAUUGACGGGGGCCCGCACAAGCGGUGGAGCAUGUGGUUUAAUUCGAAGCAACGCGAAGAACCUUACCAGGUCUUGACAUCCUCUGCCAACCCUAGAGAUAGGGCGUUCCCCUUCGGGGGACAGAGUGACAGGUGGUGCAUGGUUGUCGUCAGCUCGUGUCGUGAGAUGUUGGGUUAAGUCCCGCAACGAGCGCAACCCUUGAUCUUAGUUGCCAGCAUUCAGUUGGGCACUCUAAGGUGACUGCCGGUGACAAACCGGAGGAAGGUGGGGAUGACGUCAAAUCAUCAUGCCCCGUUAUGACCUGGGCUACACACGUGCUACAAUGGAUGGUACAAAGAGUUGCGAACCCGCGAGGGUAAGCCAAUCUCAUAAAGCCAUUCUCAGUUCGGAUUGUAGG
rnacentral:rRNA from 1 species